rnacentral:rRNA from 1 species
CCUACGGGUAGGCAGCAGUGGGGAAUCUUGGACAAUGGGGGCAACCCUGAUCCAGCCAUGCCGCGUGUGUGAAGAAGGCCUUCGGGUUGUAAAGCACUUUCAGUGGUGAGGAAGGUCAGUAAGUUAAUAGCUUGCUGAAUUGACGUUAGCCACAGAAGAAGCACCGGCUAACUCCGUGCCAGCAGCCGCGGUAAUA